rnacentral:tRNA from 1 species
CAGGAGUCGAACCUAUGCUUGAGGGAUCAAAACCCCCCGUGAUUCCAUUUCACUACUCUCUA